rnacentral:rRNA from 1 species
AGGAUGAACGCUAGCGGCAGGCCUAAUACAUGCAAGUCGAACGGUUGCCAGCAAUGGCAAUAGUGGCGCACGGGUGCGUAACGCGUAGCCAACCUACCCACAUCUGGGGGAUAGCCCGCCGAAAGGCGGAUUAAUACCGCAUAAGGCUUGGAACCGGCAUCGGUUUUUAGUUAAAGAUUUAUUGGAUGUGGAUGGGGCUGCGUGCCAUUAGCUAGUUGGGGGGUAACGCCCACAAGGCGACGAUGGCUA